UAUAAAAAGGCUUUCUUAGUUGUAAUAAACGGGCAUUGCUUGAUCACAUUGGUUGUGUGCAUGCUCAGCUCUCCCGCAGAGGACAUCCAGGCAACUGGAGCUAAAGGAGAGGAAGGAAGAAGACAAAGAGAAGAAAGACUCUGACCUGUCAAACUUUCCUGGCAGUGCUGAGAGCUGCGUCUCCAGCUCCACCCAGCAGCCCGUUGCUCCAGGAGCAGACUGACUGACUGUUCCCGGCUGGACUGAGGAGCGUGGCUCUGGGAACAAGUGCCAAGGUGUGUCAGGGGCAGCAUUAGUGGCCCUGAGCCCCGGAGGAGAUUCACUCCCUUCUGGGACUUGUUCUGUGUGUGACUGAAUAAACACUUGCUGGCUGCUGGC